GUAUUUGCAGCUGAGUGUAAGUGGAAGGGAAAAGAUGUCAAUCGCACAUGCCCAUGCUGCGUUGUCUUUGUUGUUUCAUCUUCCAUGGUGAAUAACAUGUAAAACAAUUGUAUAUUGCGUUUUUUAUUUUAUUUUUUUUGUUUUUUUUUUUAACUAGGGGAUGGAUUCGGGCCUUCGGCCCUACUCCCCCCCCCCAGGCCUAGAGCCAACCUGCAUCUGUAUCUGGUUAAGGCCCUGGACACUCCUCCCACAGUGGAUCGAACCAGGAGCGCAACAGUAUAUUGUGUUUUUUCAAAAAAAAAAAAAUUGCAUAUUGUGGGGUCACAAAGAGAAUUGGAAAAUAAUAUUUCCCUAAAUGGAGAAUUCUUUUGGCUAAUUAAUAUUGGUGAUGACGAUGAGACUUGUACGCUACGAGUCACAGGAAAUGUUAAUUUAACUAGAUUCGGUGUCCGCGCUACGCGCGGAUAACAUGUUCAAAUUAAGAAAAUUUAUAUUUUUGAUUAGUAGUUUUUAGUUUAAGAAAGUGUUUGUUAAUUUU
rnacentral:lncRNA from 1 species